GACGAACGCUGGCGGCGUGCUUAACACAUGCAAGUCGAACGGAAAGGCCCUGCUUGCAGGGUACUCGAGUGGCGAACGGGUGAGUAACACGUGGGUGAUCUGCCCUGCACUUCGGGAUAAGCCUGGGAAACUGGGUCUAAUACCGGAUAGGAGCCAUUUUUAGUGUGAUGGUUGGAAAGUUUUUUCGGUGUAGGAUGAGCUCGCGGCCUAUCAGCUUGUUGGUGGGGUAAUGGCCUACCAAGGCGGCGACGGGUAGCCGGCCUGAGAGGGUGGACGGCCACAUUGGGACUGAGAUACGGCCCAGACUCCUACGGGAGGCAGCAGUGGGGAAUAUUGCACAAUGGGCGCAAGCCUGAUGCAGCGACGCCGCGUGGGGGAUGACGGCCUUCGGGUUGUAAACUCCUUUCGCUAGGGACGAAGCUUUUUGUGACGGUACCU
rnacentral:rRNA from 1 species